AAGUGUGGAAAUAAAACCUUUCAUUAUGGAACUUAGGGCGAUAAUAUUCAUGGUUUUCGUCAUUCUAGCGCUGCAGUUCGCAUCAGUUGCAUUUGGUGAUCACGGAAAUGAAGUACUACAAAUGGAUUAUCCGCAACAACCAAGAUGGAAGCAAGUUAUCUGUGGUUGUCCAUAAAUAAAAAAAUAAUUACAUAUGUCUAAUUUCACAGUA